rnacentral:lncRNA from 1 species
UUCAAAUAUGUUUCAUUUGGGUCUUUUGAAUUAAGGGUUAUUUUAAUAAUCCUAUGAAAGAACUGGUGAAUCAGAUAGUAUGACUUUGUAUAUUUACACUACAUGUUGUUCUUCUGCAGUUUUGAAAAUGACUCAUAAUUCAUAAUAUAUAUUUGGCUGAAUGUGCAAUAACGAGUAUCACCAAAUGAAACUUACAUGUCGUAAAACAAACAUUUGAGAAAACCAACAUAGUGGCAUUGUGACCAGCAUGGAUCCAGACCAGCAUCCGCAGUCUGGUAAGGAUCCAUGCUGUUCGCUUUCAAAGCCAAUUGCAAUUAGAAAAACUGUUAGCGAACAGCAUGGAUCAUGACCAGACUGUGCAGAUGCAAAGCCACUAUGUUGGUUUUCACAUGGCACGGCUCAUUUGUUUAGGUUAGGUCAUUUUCUAUUAAGUUUUGAUUGUUACUGUGCAUUUGUUACUAUGCAUUUGUGUUGUAUUAGAUCUAUAGCCAUUAUCCACUAUUUUUGGUAAUUCACGAAAUUGAUUAACACUGAUAAAAAUAUAUAAUUUAUACAGUUUAUUAUAUAAUAUCCCCUAAAAUUAUACUUUAAGAUUAACAAGUGUAAGCCAAAGCUGUUAGUAGUAUUUAACUGGAAAACCAUCUUGUUUUGUUUAUGUUAAUUAAGCUAAAAUAAAUUGAUGUUGGCAAAAGCUAAUGCUACUUUCCAAUACAGUCAAACUUGUCUUAAGCAGCCAGUAAAGGGAAGAAGAGAAAGUGCCCUUUUAAGGCAGAAUGUUGCUUGAUACAAGUUAAUUUGCUUUGAUAUAAAAAUGGGAAAUAUAGCAAAUGCAGCUGCUUAAAACAAGUGGCUGGUUAAAAGAAGUGACCACUUGCAGAGGUUUAACUGUAGCCUGUCUGGUAGAGUCCAUUGACUGUUCAUCAGGAUAUUAAAAGAGCUUGAUCACUGGGCAACAGGAAUGUUCUUUGUUAGAUCUGACUAAAGACAAUGAGUCUUAUGCCAUUCCUCCUUGCCCUCUGAUUUAGUGUAGGGAAGUUGUUGAAUACUUAACAUUUAGCCUGCUAAAUUAAAAAAAAAAUGGACUGGUCCAUCAUUCAGUUCGGGCGAUACCAUUUCUUAUUCGAAGGGAUGUUCAAUGAAAAUUUACUGACUGAAUAGCGAACAGUGCAGACCAUGUUUAGCCUGCAUUGUUCUUUGUCUGCACUGGUUGCAAAGGCAGAAUCACUUGCCACCAGCAGGGUAACGGUUAAAGAGAACUGUUCAAUACUGGUGUUAAGUCAAUGGUAAUGUUUCUUGCCUAAGAUAUUGUUG